rnacentral:rRNA from 1 species
ACGCUAGCGGCAGGCUUAACACAUGCAAGUCGAGGGGCAGCGCGAGAGUAGCAAUACUUUUGGCGGCGACCGGCAGAAGGGUGCGUAACACGUGAGCAACCUGCCCGUGACAGGGGGAUAACCGAUGGAAACGUCGCCUAACACCCCGUAACAACUUGGAGGGCAUCCUUUGAGUUUGGAAAUUCCGAUGGUCACGGAUGGGCUCGCGGGACAUUAGCUAGUUGGCGGGGUAACGGCCCACCAAGGCGACGAUGUCUAGGGGUUCUGAGAGGAAGGUCCCCCACACUGGAACUGAGACACGGUCCAGACUCCUACGGGAGGCAGCAGUGAGGAAUAUUGGACAAUGGAGGCAACUCUGAUCCAGCCAUGCCGCGUGAAGGAUGAAGGCCCUAUGGGUCGUAAACUUCUUUUGUCGUAGAGCAAUAAGGUGUACGAGUACAUCGAUGAGAGUAUACGACGAAUAAGCAUCGGCUAACUCCGUGCCAGCAGCCGCGGUAAUACGGAGGAUGCAAGCGUUAUCCGGAUUUAUUGGGUUUAAAGGGUGCGUAGGCGGACGUAUAAGUCAGCGGUGAAAGGUACCGGCUCAACCGGUGAGCUGCCGUUGAAACUGUGCGACUGGAAUGCGGAUGCCGUGGGAAGAAUGUGUGGUGUACCGGUGAAAUGCUUAGAUAUCACACAGAACACCGAUUGCGAAGGCAUCUCACGAAUCCGUUAUUGACGCUGAAGCACGAAGGCGUGGGGAUCAAACAAGGAUAGAUACCCCUGGUAGUCCACGCGGUAAACGAUGAUGGCUUACUGCCGGCGAU